AAGUUAAAUGUAAAUCUCUUCAAACAUAAAAAUAAAUUAUGGAAAAAAGAAAAAAUAAAUAUCAAAAUAAAAAAGGAACCCAUGCAUGAUUAUAAGCACUGAAACCACUAGACAUUUUAGCACUUGCAUCACACGAUGAUCUAAACAUAGAAUUCUAACUCCUCCUUCAGUCGAGAGAAGAGUACACUAAGGGUAAGAUGAAAGGCUCCAUGUAUUGCAACGCCAGCAUACAGCUUUAAGCAGUCCUUACUCAAAUCCUUUCAAUCACCCAAAAAAAAUCCAAAACACGACCACAGUAAAUUGAAAUAUGAAUUUGGAAAUGGAUAGUCGAGUGUGAUUUCAACAUGUACUCACCCCAGGUGAUGAACAAAUUAAAAACAACGCAUUCAAUUAGGGGUGAACAUUCGAUUCAAAUCAAAUCAAACCAAAUUACAUAUUUUAAAAACUGAUCAGAAUUAAAAUGUAUGAAUAAUCAAAUCAAACCGAACCAUUCCAUUUCAGUUUGAUUCAACUCAAAUAGAUCGAUUUUGAAUUUUAAUUAAUUUUUUAAUUUUGACUUGAUUUUCAAGUUAUUUGA
rnacentral:misc_RNA from 1 species